GAACGCUAGCGGCAGGCUUAACACAUGCAAGUCGAGGGGCAGCGCGGGGCAGCAAUGUUCUGGCGGCGACCGGCGGAAGGGUGCGUAACGCGUGAGCGACAUGCCCGUUGCCCGGGGACAACCGGUGGAAACGCCGACUAAUCCCCGAUGGGACGGAGGCCCUCAUGGGUCUCCGUUGAAAGUUACGGCGGCGACGGAUUGGCUCGCGUCCGAUUAGCUUGUUGGCGGGGUAACGGCCCACCAAGGCUACGAUCGGUAGGGGUUCUGAGAGGAAGGUCCCCCACAAUGGAACUGAGACACGGUCCAUACUCCUACGGGAGGCAGCAGUGAGGAAUAUUGGUCAAUGGGCGGAAGCCUGAACCAGCCAUGCCGCGUGCGGGAAGGAGGCCCUAUGGGCUGUGAACCGCUUUUGCCUGGGGGCAAUAAGGGCGUCGUGCACGUCCGAUGAGAGUACCAGGCGAAUAAGCAUCGGCUAACUCCGUGCCAGCAGCCGCGGUAAUACGGGGGAUGCGAGCGUUAUCCGGAUUCAUUGGGUUUAAAGGGUGCGUAGGCUGUGCGUCAAGUCAGGGGUGAAAUUCCGGGGCUCAACUCCGGGGCUGCCCUUGAUACUGUCGCGCUGGAGUGCGGAUGCCGCCGGAGGAAUGAGUGGUGUAGCGGUGAAAUGCUUAGAUAUCACUCAGAACACCGAUUGCGAAGGCAUCUGGCGAAUCCGUAACUGACGCUGAGGCACGAAAGCGUGGGGAUAGAACAGGAUUAGAUACCCUGGUAUUCCACGCCGUAAACGAUGAUGGCUAACCGCCGGCGACACACUGUCGGUGGCCAAGCGAAAGCGAUAAGCCAUCCACCUGGGGAGUACGUCGGCAACGAUGCAACUCAAAUGAAUUGACGG
rnacentral:rRNA from 2 species